AAACCAACAGGGAUUGCCUCAGUAACGGCGAGUGAAGCGGCAAGAGCUCAAAUUUGAAAUCCGGCCCCCCUGGGGGCCUGAGUUGUAAUUUGCAGAGGAUGCUUCGGGCGCGACCGCGGUCCAAGUCCCCUGGAACGGGGCGUCGUAGAGGGUGAGAAUCCCGUCUCCGGCCGGCCGGUCUCGCCCGUGUGAAGCUCCUUCGACGAGUCGAGUUGUUUGGGGAUGCAGCUCCAAAUGGGUGGUAAAUUUCAUCUAAAGCUAAAUACUGGUCGGAGACCGAUAGCGCACAAGUAGAGUGAUCGAAAGAUGAAAAGCACUUUGAAAAGAGAGUUAAACAGCAUGUGAAAUUGUUGAAAGGGAAGCGCUUGCGACCAGAGUCGGCCGUGGGGGUUCAGCGGGCAUUCGUUGCCCGUGCAAUCCCCCGCGGCCGGGCCAGCGUCGGUUUCGACGGCCGGUCAAAGGCCCCCGGAAUGUGUCGCCUCUCGGGGCGUCUUAUAGCCGGGGGUGCAAUGCGGCCAGUCGGGACCGAGGAACGCGCUCCGGCACGGACGCUGGCUUAAUGGUCGUCAGCGAC
rnacentral:rRNA from 1 species